GCCAUUCAGCCUUUUCCUUUGAGGCGAAGGAAAGAGCCCCCUAGUUUUCGAGGAAGGUUUAGUUGAGUUAUGGUGAUGGCCGAAACGCGGUAUAAUGAGCUCUAUGACCAUGACCAUGGACGAUGAGUGUUCGCCCUUGGUCUACAUGGAUCAGAGGCCCAGCUAACGCAUGAAACACUCCGCCUAGGAAGUAUGGUCGCAAGACCAAAACUCAAAGGAAUUGAUGGGGCCCUGCACAAGCGAUGGAGCAUGUGGUUUAAUUCGAUACAACGGACCAUGACCAAGGACGAUGAAGUGACCCGGCCCUCCACAAGGACGUGCAUGUACCCAUCAAAGUCAUGCAUCACAACACGUUGAUCUAGUCUUUAAAAGUAUACAUGAAGAUAUAGGUCUGGUUCUCUAGCUGACCAAACCGCCCUUCACACUUGGCAAAUUUGGCCAUUCAAAAUUGUCUUGCCAACUGUGGGUCCCAUACAUAGCCCUACACAUAUUGUCUUUCUCCACAUAUCUAAAGAGUUUAAAUGAAAAUGUUUUUAGGGUGUGUAGUCAGUAUGGAGAGAACUUUUUUU
rnacentral:ncRNA from 1 species